UGUAUGUAGCUCAGAGGUAAAGUGCUUGCGUAACAUGUGCUAGGCCCUGGGUUCAAUCCCCAGCACUGCAA
rnacentral:tRNA from 1 species